rnacentral:rRNA from 1 species
CCUACGGGUGGCAGCAGUGAGGAAUAUUGGUCAAUGGGCGCGAGCCUGAACCAGCCAAGUAGCGUGAAGGAUGACUGCCCUACGGGUUGUAAACUUCUUUUAUAAAGGAAUAAAGUGAGGCACGUGUGCCUUUUUGUAUGGACUUUAUGAAUAAGGAUCGGCUAACUCCGUGCCAGCAGCAUCGGUAAUACGGAGGAUCCGAGCGUUAUCCGGAUUUAUUGGGGUGAAAGGGAGCGUAGAUGGGUUGUUAAGUCAGUGGUGCACGUUUGCGGCUCAACCGUAAACUUGCUAUUUAUACUGGCAGCCUUGAGUACAGUUUCGGUAGGCGGACUUCGUGGUGUAGCGGUGAACUGCUUAGCUAUCACGCAGCACUCCGAUUGCGAAGGCAGCUUACUACACUGCCCCUGCCAUUGCUGCUCGACAGUGUGGGUAUCAAACAGGAUUAGAUACCCCAGUAGUC